rnacentral:rRNA from 1 species
UGCAAAAGGUGCGAGCGUUAUUCAUAGUUACUGGGUGUAAAGGGUUCGUAGGCGGUGUGGCAAGUCGGGAGUGAAAUCUCUGGGCUCAACUCAGAGACUGCUUCCGAAACUGCUGUGCUGGAGUGUGGGAGAGGCGCGUGGAAUUGCAGGUGUAGCGGUGAAAUGCGUAGAUAUCUGCAGGAACACCCGUGGCGAAAGCGGCGCGCUGGACCACUACUGACGCUGAGGAACGAAAGCUAGGGGAGCAAACAGG